UUGCCAUAUUGCUUCAUCAUAGUAUUUCCUCAGACUUACAGAUAUUUAAAUCAUGUUUGGAGAAGAGCUGUGAAAUCAGUGAGUCUGUUUCUCUGAUUGAAGACAGAUCAUAACAGCCCAUCUUGAGAAGAAAGCAAGGAUCAGAGAAAAAUAAGACAAACUGCCAGACUACUACAACAUGUAAUGUCCUUUACACACAAAUCAAGAGGAUGAGCUGAACUGUAGGACAAACUGUAGAACUAAUUUUUCCCACUGAAAAAUUACAGUGAUAACUAUGUCCUGUAUUUAAUUUGGGGCCUAUACACAGGUGAAAGAAGCUCAGAUUUCAGUGCAGCAUCUUGUAACAGGACUGCUGAGAGCUCUCAUGCUUGUGACUUCACUGAUAUAUCUACCUGAUUGCAAAACCAUGAGUUCCAAAUAUGUAGGUGGCCUGGUAAGAAUUACUGAAGUAGCUGUUCUUGGUACAGAUCUUUCGAGCAGUCUUUGCAGUUUUGUGGGUUAGAGCUGAACAUGAUAAACUAUUGUGCUCCCUUCUUUACAUACGUUUCUUUAAUCAAAGGUAGCCAUUUGAAAAAUCUUUCAGACUCAGAAAGAUGAAUUUAACUUUUUUCUUUUCUUUAAUGUGUCUAUUACAGUUAUUCUGUUGUAAUGUAAAGGACAGAGUUUAAUGUCUUGCACAACAACACUAAGUUACAUAGAUCUGCCUGUGUUGUAUUACCCCUUGUUAAGAGUACACUGAAUUUCAUUCUCUAGGAACAGAUUGUUAUUUGAACAGGCUUCUCUGCAAUUUUUCUGGGUGCUUGAGUGAUAACUGAUUGGAUGACCUACCUACACUCUAAUAACGAACAGAAUAUAGAAAGUAAUACAGCAUAUUAAAUUGAGGAAAUAAAUCUUCUAUUAGUACUAUCUUCUACAACACUAAUGGAAAGUUCAUAUUUUUAUGGCAGCUUAAAUAAGAACUGGAAAAUGAUGAAGCAGGCAGGAUUAAUUGAAUGCCCAGGAGAUAUCACAGUUGCUGGUCAGCCAUCCACCUGCUGGUUACCUGCACCCAUCCUACAGUGCAUCAAUGUCCACUGCCACCUGGCUCUAUUCAAAUUGCCAACUUGUAACAGAUUGGGUUUAGAGAGUGUGUUGGGUUUUUCUGUAUAUGUUUGAUGAGCUUAAUCUUUUUCAAAUUGUAGGCUCUAUUAUUGUGUUGACUUAAUAUGUUCAUACAGAAAACUCAUAAUUUCCAUCUAGGAUAUUUACUUGUACUGUAACUGUGACAAAUCAGCAGUGUCAGACCAAAAGUUGUACUGGGAUUGUGUCUAGUAU
ensembl:lncRNA